CAAAAUAUUUGGACCACUUGUGU
rnacentral:siRNA from 1 species